CGGCGCCUGGCGCUGCGCCUGGGGGGGCUCCUGGCGGCCACCGGCGGGGUGGCCGUGCUCUACAUCUUCGGCAGCAACGCGGUGGACGAGCACGGGGACAAGAUCCCCGAUGAGUUCGACAGCGGUGAGUGACCCCCAGGUGACAGGGGAGGGGACACUGCGGUGCCACC